CCUACGGGAGGCUGCAGUGAGGAAUAUUGGUCAAUGGGCGCGAGCCUGAACCAGCCAAGUAGCGUGAAGGAUGACUGCCCUACGGGUUGUAAACUUCUUUUAUAAAGGAAUAAAGUGAGGCACGUGUGCCUUUUUGUAUGUACUUUAUUAAUAAGGAGCGGCUAACUCCGUUCCAGCAGCCGCGGUAAUACGGAGGAGCCGAGCGUUAUCCGGAUUUAUUGGGUUUAAAGGGUGCGUAGGUGGGUUGUUAAGUCAGUUGUGAAAGUUUGCGGCUCAACCGUAAAAUUGCAAUUGAUACUGGGAGACUUGAGUACAGUAGAGGGAGGCGGAAUUCGUGGUGUAGCGGUGAAAUGCUUAGAUAUCGCGAAGAACACCGAUUGCGAAGGCAGGUUACUAAACUGCAACUGACGUUGAUGCUCGAAGGUGUGGGUAUCAAACAGGAUUAGAUACCCGAGUAGUC
rnacentral:rRNA from 1 species